AGACUAGCUGUUAAACAGGGCUUUUUCCCUAGAAAGGUGUCAUAAUUUUGACUCCAUCAAAUUCUUCUAACAGCAAGUACUCAUUUGGGCCCAUUUUACAGAAGAAGGAAAACUCUUGAGUGGCUCAAUCUUGGCUCUCCACAACCUCUGCCUCCUGGAUUCAAGCGAUUCUAUUCCCCAGCAUACCAAGAAGCUGGGAUUACAGUUUUGAAGAUGAAGAAAAACCGAAGCUAUAAGGACUGAGAUAAAAUGCCAAGGACAUAUAGCUUGAAAAAGGCAUGGCUAGAAUGUGCACUCAGUAUGACCUCAGCACCCAAGCUCUUUACCAAUAUAUGCUGCAAUCUUAGGCUCAUCAACUGCACACAGUGAAUUGUGGUGCUACUUCGUCUAAGCCUGCAUUCUCCUUCAGAGCCUACACCUCCCUUUCAGCUGUUUUCACCUUCACUGUUCCAAAAAAAGCAGACUUUGAAAACUUAAGAAAUGACAUUAAAAAAAAUCAAAAUCGA
rnacentral:lncRNA from 1 species